UCCGUGAACGGUUGCAUAAUUGCUGACGUACAUUAACUCUAACCUCAAAUUAAGGUGGAAAUAAAAAAAACAAUUACAUUAAAUACAUCACAAUAACAUGGAUAAAACGCGAUGUAUAUUAAAUUAGUGUGAUGGACGGGGUAAAUAAUACCGAAAAUGAUAAAAUUUCUUUUUGGAAAAAGAAUAACAAAGCUAUCCCCGGAAGACCAAGUCCCAAAAAGGAGUUUCGUGGUAACAACAGAUCGAAGCCGACCGGAUCUACUUCGUUUCAAGAGUUUCAAGCAUCCGUCAGUGACGCUUGGGCUGUAGACGAUGACGAAUUCUGUGUUAUAUCGGGAGUGGAAAGUACUCAUAUUUCAAGAAAGGUGUCAGAAUCUGCCGCGUUAAAUGUAUUAAAUCAUCACAGAACGACUUCUGAUACCCCUGUGAAUGUAGACUCCAAAGAACCUCACAAAAAUACUAGUGAUAAUUUAAUUAGAUAUAGUAGAAUACCCGGUCGUCCGCAACAGCUACGAUACACAAACAAUCAAGACGAAGAUUGUGAAUCUAAAUUAGAGCGAUUUGAAAGUCUAUUAUCCGGUACGCCCACGCUUGCGGAAUUAUGCAAGCUCAGCUGGUCCGGUAUACCCGUGAAAGUUCGCGCGACGACAUGGCGAUUGCUAUCCGGUUAUUUAUCAGUUAAUCUAGAAAGACGUCAAGGUAUGUUGGAACGAAAACGGCAGGAUUAUUGGAAUUUAGUAAAACAGUAUUAUGAUACGGAACGUGACGAAGCUUAUCAAGACACCUAUCACCAAAUUCAUAUUGACGUUCCUAGGAUGAAUCCUACAAUUCCUUUGUUUCAGCAGACGUUAGUUCAGGAGAUGUUUGAGCGUAUUUUGUUUAUAUGGGCAAUUAGGCAUCCUGCAUCGGGUUACGUGCAGGGCAUUAACGAUUUGGUAACACCCUUUUUUGUGGUAUUCCUUCAGGAGGUUAUUUCGGAUGAUCAGCCCUUUGAAUUCUUUGCAAUCGAUAAUUUAUCGCAGCAGCAACGCGACGUAAUCGAGGCAGAUUCUUUUUGGUGUCUUUCAAAGUUUUUAGACGGUAUACAGGAUAAUUAUGUGUUCGCUCAACUUGGGAUUCAAAGGAAGGUGAAUCAACUGAAAGAAUUAAUUCAACGUGUCGAUAAUAUUUUGCAUAAACACUUAACGCAGCACAACGUAGAUUAUUUACAGUUUUCAUUUCGAUGGUUGAAUAAUUUACUUACUCGCGAACUGCCUUUACGAUGUACUAUACGUUUAUGGGACACAUAUUUAGCCGAAAACGAUUCAUUCGCUUUAUUUCAAUUGUACGUUUGUGCCGCAUUUCUAUUACAGUGGCGUAACAAAUUGCUGGAAGAAACGGAUUUCCAAGGAUUAAUGCUGCUAUUGCAAAAUUUACCGACGCAAAAUUGGACAGGUUCAGAUAUAGGACUGUUGGUCGCCGAAGCGUACCAUCUUAAAGUAGUGUUUGCCGAUGCGCCAAAUCAUUUACACAAUAAUCAGGUGGACAGAUGAUUGAUUAACGUUAAUUUGUAUAAAAUAUUUUUGUAAUUCUAUCAAAGUAUGUGAGAUAUAUGACUAAAUAAUAAUUGUUCCGGUGAUUGGCUUAGGUAGAUGUACACCUUUUUCAAAUCGUAACUUUGUUAAAUAAACUAAAUAUGCCAAUAGGUGUAGUUUGCGAUGGUACAACUUCCUAUACCACCUCUAAUUUCAAGGCUAAAGCCCAUUAUCUAGGUCACUCUGGGGGAGAAUAUUUCAAUUAAUGCUUUAACGCAUCAUACAUAGAGAUGGAUUUAAGUAUAGGUUUUUUGUGCUGGAACCCAAUGGUUUUGAUUUUCCCUGUAUUCCAGCAAAUGUUUUAAAAAUUUUGUGCUCAAUUAUGGAUCUGCAAGUCAUACCGAGCUUUUUAUCAUGAAUACUUUUUUCUGGUGAAAUGGAAGGUAACCUUUUUGUGCCGGCUGGUCUGUGUGGCACAGUGGUGUAGAAGCUUGACUGCGGUACUAAGGGUCCUUGGUUCAAAUUAGCGUUGGAGCAUGGAUAUUUGUAAAUGUAUAGUGGGUUGGGCUGGUAGAACAGCCUGCGCUGAAGCCCCAAAAAUAAUACUUAAUAAUUUCUCCAUUUGUAUAAAACACACUGUAUAUUAGGCAAAAUGUAAUAUUUUAAAUAAGUGGUAUAGGCAUAUUUCCUCUAUGGUAUAACUCAUUUACUUAUACCAGAAUUUAUUUUGUGAAGAAAUACAUUUUUCCAAAAAACUCAAAUAACUUAAUACCCUUUUGAUUUAGGUUUAUGGUGUAAAAGUCAACUUCUGGUAUAACUGGAAUCUUUAGUGGAUAACCCUGUGGUUGAGAAAAUCCUCAUCUUAACCUUAACGUUACUGAAUAAGAAAUCAUAUCAAAUUUAUCACUAUAAACUCGGUCAACAGGGCGCCGAGACAACUGGGUACGGGGACUUCGAAACCCAGGAUGACUGGGCACAGGAAACCAUAAGGGAAAUUAAAGGAUACACUGGAAAUCUUGUCCCGUUUUCAUAUUCCCAUAUCUUUUAUAAUAUUAUUGAGAAUUUGUUGAUUUUUUCUUCUCUUAUUUUUAGUAUCUCUCUCAUCCACUUCUCACUCACCUCAUUCCUAUACUGCUCCCUGUUUUUCAGCUCUGUACAGUGUACAGUUCCAUAGCAUGUGUUCUAAUUUUGAGUCAAAAAAUUAAAACAUUGCGAAUCCUUGAAGAUAUUCAUUUAGGAACAUCUGGUACCUACCUAUUAUAUGUAUGACAAAAAAGGUCCAAAUGUCCAAGUGUAUAUACUGAGAUUCAGGUAACAUAAAGUAUUUUAGGAUUACUAAUGCCGAAAAUAAAGAUAAUCGUAUCAUGAAGAAAGCAAUAGUUGAAACUACUGAUGAAGAAAAGAACAGCAAAAAAAGCUGGAGAGUUGACAGAGAGGUGAAACGCGAAUGCGUAAG